rnacentral:lncRNA from 1 species
ACAAAGUAGCAUAUCCAAAUAGAGGCAACUCUUGUCCAGAUCACACUCCACCCUUCAUCCCCUCCACCACAGAGGCUGUUUAUUGUGUUGUGAAGAACUACAGAAUGAGAAGGAAUGAAAAUCCCAGUGUACACACAUGGAAUCAUAGCCCUCGUGGCUCAAAGUUCUGUCUCUAAGCCCCUGCCUGUGCCCAAUCUACUGUCCCAACGAUGGGGUCUCCUUCUCUCUGGAAGUGCUAUCCAUGGGCACAGAGACAUAUGGGGAGAUGGGGAUCCUGAGGGCCUGUAGAGGCCCUGGGAAAGCAUGCUCUUAGAGAAACAGGCAGCCUAUACAUGUUAGUUGGCCUAUACAUGUUAGUUAGGUUCAGCUAAUUUAUUUGAAUUCAGAGGUACUUCUCAGCUUAAGUACAGUAUAUUUGACAGGGUAAUUGUGUUCUCUGGAAAAAUGAGCUGAAAUUCUAAAAGACAAAAUUAACACAAAUGCACUUUGAUGUCUGGUGUAAGUUUCCAUGUUUUAGCUGUACCUGUGACACAGGACACGAGAGAACGUGCUCAUGUGAACACAAGUGAAGGACACCGUGGGGACUUGCCACACAGAUCCCAGCACGUGGACUGUGUACAGGGCAUUUCUGCUGAAACGCUAUGUCUAGUUUUCUGCAUACAGCCCCAUUCCUUCUCUAACAAGAGACGCCUGUACCAACCCAUGGUGAGGGAAAGGACAAAGAUGAGAU